CGUUGUGUUGUGUUUUCUGUUGAUGACUGACCAACGGACCAACCAAAAAAAGAAAAAAGAAACACCAAAAACAAACAACUGCGAUUACGCGCGCAAAAAACAAAAACAACGAACAACUCGGCUAAGAGAAACAAUUUCGUGCAGAGAAUUGACAAAACUUCUUAAAGCUGACAGGAGAGCCAGGCAAAGCGAGUGAGCCAUAGCCAGCGACCCAUUAACUUCCGAGUGCUGUGAUAAUAUUCCCAUUUUCCAGUUGCGUCGCACAGUUCAUGCAAAAAGGUCGAUACACGACGACGUCGACGAAGACAACGAAAUCGUUCUUUUUUUCUUCUUCGCGUGGCACUACGUGUUUCCUACAUCGCUGCCGCCGCAGCCACCUAUAACUUUUAUUCUUGGGUCCAAGCUACCGACCGACCGACCGACCUCCUUUCGGCGGCUGGGCCAGUUGUCUAUACACUUUCAUCUUAAAACUAGAAAAUUUCGUGUCCUAACUAUAUUCUUUCCUAGUUGGUUUCGUUCGGUUUACCUCUUCCUUGGUUGGUGUGUGUGCCUGUGUCGGCUGCAUUUAAGUAAGCCUUUGACCACCGGAUAAACGGCCGGACACUUGUGUUAAACGCUCGGUCACGGGUCACGGUUAAAGUGGUGUUCCUCCGUUUAUUUUUCUACUUCGAUGAGCCAUAACAGCCGCGCGUACGUCUAAAAAAAAUAACACCAAAACGACCUGCACACGCUCGGAAAAUUUAAAUUUUCUUGUUUUUUUUUUGUUUUUCGUCAACAAAAAAUUCUGUUUGUUGGCUGCCACUAUGCUGAGUUAAUUGAAAUUUAAUGAGAAAGUAGCAAAUGGAAGAAGAAGAAGAAUAAAUCUUUUGGAUAAAUAAAAUCAAUGCUCUCAGUACCAUGCAGAGAGGAGGCUUAACGUGCCGGCAUGCUGGGCCAGAAGUUGAAAUUUACAAACUCUAAUAAAAAGAAACCAACCAAAUUCUAGUGGAGUCAAGAAUUUUGCCAAGAGGCUCUAAAAGUAAUUUU